CGCAUUCAGGAUUUCAGUUUGCAAAAAUCAAAUCAGAAUCCAGGGAAAGGACGAAAACGAAAUUCUUAUGCGCGAGAUAUCUCCUUGUGUCUACAACACUUUUACAGAGAGAUACAAGUGAUGGUGCUGUACAAGGGGAUGUAUCUUGAUCCCGAAGAACUUACAUGAAACAAGUAUCAUGCGGAAAAGUUAAAACACCUAACGACGCGUGGUAGAUUAGGGAUCCCAAAGUGGCGAAGCAUAUGUUUCAUGUAGUCUCUCUUGUUAUUUAGCCACUUGCUUAUGUUGUUUGUACUUUUUUCAAUAUACGAUGUUGAAUUUGCUUGCUUUUGAAGCAGUGGAGUCACUGGAACGUAGACAAUUCAUGGAAGUUCUGUAAUUAUGUAAUCUUGUAUAACAGCAGGAUAUAAAUGUAAGCCUCUAACAAAGAUGAGGAAGAAUUCCUGUAAAA